UUUUUUAAUUGAAAGCUGGAAUGAAGGGUUUAUACUAAGGAGAUGGUUUUAUUUAAUUAACUUGAAUUUAAAUUAAAAGUAAAAAUGCUUUUAUAAAAUUUUGGGACGAGAAGACCCUAGAAGCUUAUAAUUUAAAAAUUUUUGGUUGGGGUAACAUUUGAAGAUAAAAAUUUUUAAAGUAUUUAAAAUUUAUAAAACUAAAGUUACUCUAGGGAUAACAGCAUAAUUUGAUUAACAAGUUCUUAUUAAUAAUCAAGUUUGUGACCUCGAUGUUGAAUUAAUUUUUACUUUUGGUGAAGGAGCUAAAGGGGGGUAGUCUGUUCGACUAUUAAAAAAUUACGUGAUCUGA
rnacentral:rRNA from 1 species